CCAACGCAGUUCCUCACAUCUUGGGGUUGGAUUCUGCAUCCCUGAAGGUGUUUUGGAUUGUGGACUUGAGUAUAAAGGACUAACGGCUCUGGUGAAAAUGGCAAACAUAUCAGCAGGGAUGUUCAGAAUCUAAUCAGCGAUCCAGUCAGUUUCGCAUCCUGAAGAAAGAUUUUCUGCACCAUCAGAGUGCUGAGACAUCACCACUGGACUCCCUGGCUCCCACAAAGUGAUUACUCCCCAUGCUGAGAGACUACGGGGGAAUGUUUGAGGUCAAACAGCGCAUACAAAGGACUGGUCUUAUCACCUUCC